rnacentral:rRNA from 1 species
CCUACGGGAUGCAGCAGUGGGGAAUUUUGGGCAAUGGCCGCAAGGCUGACCCAGCGACGCCGCGUGCGGGAAGACGCCCUUCGGGGUGUAAACCGCUGUCAGGGGGGACGAAUCCUCCCGGUGGGAAUACCACCGGGAAAUGACGGUACCCUCAAAGGAAGCGCCGGCUAACUCCGUGCCAGCAGCCGCGGUAAGACGGAGGGCGCGAGCGUUGUUCGGAAUCACUGGGCGUAAAGCGCGCGCAGGCGGGCCGGUCAAGUCGGAAGUGAAAUCCCGGGGCUCAACUCCGGGACUGCUUCCGAAACUGUCGGCCUGGAGACCGGUAGAGGUGGGUGGAAUUCCCGGUGUAGCGGUGGAAUGCGUAGAGAUCGGGAAGAACACCUGUGGCGAAGGCGGCCCACUGGGCCGGUUCUGACGCUGAGGCGCGAAAGCGUGGGGAGCAAACAGGAUUAGAUACCCGGGUAGUC